UUGGUAGAGUUGAGAUAGAUGGGAGAUCGUGGUUGAGAAGAGAUUGAUAGAAUGGAGAAUUGAUCAGGAAAAUGCUUCAUCUACUAGCCAAAAUAAAACCUUGAGAUCUCUAAAUACAUAAGAAAUUGAGAGUUGAGAUGGAUGGGAGAUCGUGGGUGAGAAGAGAUUGAUCGAAUGGAGAAUUGAUCUGGAAAACACUUUAUCCACUAGCCAAAAUAAAACCUUGAGAUCUCUAAACACAUAAGAAAUUGAUAGAGUUGAGAUGGAUGGGAGAUCGUGGGUGAGAAGAGAUUGACUGAAUGGAGAAUUGAUCUGGAAAAUGCUUUAUCCACUAGCCAAAAUAAAACCUUGAGAUCUCUAAAUACAUAAGAAAUUGGUAGAGUUGAGAUGGAUGGGAGAUCGUGGGUGAGAAGAGAUUGAUAGAAUGGAGAAUUGAUCUGGAAAACGCUUUAUCCACUAGCCAAAAUAAAACCUUGAGAUCUCUAAAUACAUAAGAAAUUGGUAGAGUUGAGAUAGAUGGGAGAUCGUGGUUGAGAAGAGAUUGAUCGAAUGGAGAAUUGAUCUGGAAAAUGCUUUAUCUACUAGCCAAAAUAAAACCUUGAGAUCUCUAAAUACAUAAGAAACUGAGAGAGUUGAGAUGGAUGGGAGAUCGUGGUUGAGAAGAGAUUGAUCGAAUGGAGAAUUGAUCAGGAAAACGCUUUAUCCACUAGCCAAAAUAAAACCUUGAGAUCUCUAAGUACAUAUGAAAUUGGUAGAGUUGAGAUGGAUGGGAGAUCAUGGUUGAGAAGAGAUGGAUAGAAUGGAAAAUUGAUCCGGAAAAUGCUUUAUCCACUAGCCAAAAUAAAACCUUGAGAUCUCUAAAUACAUAAGAAAUUGAGAGUUGAGAUGGAUGGGAGAUCGUGGGUGAGAAGAGAUUGAUCGAAUGGAGAAUUGAUCUGGAAAAUGCUUUAUCUACUAGCCAAAAUAAAACCUUGAGAUCUCUAAAUACAUAAGAAAUUGAGAGUUGAGAUGGAUGGG